rnacentral:tRNA from 1 species
GCCGCCAAAGCUCAGGCAGGAGAGCAACGGCCUUUUAAGCCGGAGGACGCAGGUGCAAAUCCGUGCUGGCGGCA